CCUACGGGGGGCAGCAGUGAGGAAUAUUGGUCAAUGGGCGGGAGCCUGAACCAGCCAAGUCGCGUGAGGGAAGACGGUCCUACGGAUGGUAAACCUCUUUUGCCGGGGAGCAACGGGGUCCGUGCGAGGGCCCGAUGAGAGUACCCGGAGAAAAGCAUCGGCUAACGCCGUGCCAGCAGCCGCGGUAAAACGGAGGAUGCGAGCGUUAUCCGGAUUUAUUGGGGUAAAAGGGUGCGUAGGCGGGCUGUUAGGUCAGCGGUAAAAUGGCGGGGCGCAACCCCGGCCGGCCUUUGAAACUGGCGGCCUCGAGUGGGCGAGAAGUAUGCGGAAUGCGUGGUGUAGCGGUGAAAUGCAUAGAUAUCACGCAGAACUCCGAUUGCGAAGGCAGCAUACCGGCGCCCUACUGACGCUGAGGCACGAAAGCGUGGGUAUCGAACAGGAUUAGAUACCCCAGUAGUC
rnacentral:rRNA from 1 species